UGCCGCUCACGCCCGGUC
rnacentral:sRNA from 1 species